AUUGAACGCUGGCGGAAUGCUUUACACAUGCAAGUCGAACGGCAGCACGGACUUCGGUCUGGUGGCGAGUGGCGAACGGGUGAGUAGUGUAUCGGAACGUGCCCAGUCGUGGGGGAUAACGUAGUGAAAAUUACGCUAAUACCGCAUACGAUCUAUGGAUGAAAGCGGGGGAUCGCAAGACCUCGCGCGAUUGGAGCGGCCGAUAUCAGAUUAGGUAGUUGGUGGGGUAAAGGCCCACCAAGCCAACGAUCUGUAGCUGGUCCGGGAGGCCGACCAGCCAAACUGGAACUGAGACACGGUCCAGACUCCUACGGGAGGCAGCAGUGGGGAAUUUUGGACAAUGGGCGAAAGCCUGAUCCAGCCAUUCCGCGUGCAGGAUGAAGGCCCUCGGGUUGUAAACUGCUUUUGUACAGAACGAAAAGGUUUCUACUAAUACUAGGAGCUCAUGACGGUACUGUAAGAAUGAGCACCGGCUAACUACGUGCCAGCCGCCGCAGUAA
rnacentral:rRNA from 1 species